rnacentral:lncRNA from 1 species
CCUCGCCCUCUUCGUCGCUGUCGCCUUCGGCAGCCGCCUCCGGCCACUGCCUCCGUCGCUACCUCCGUCCCGGCCAACAAGCUCGACCACGACAACCCCACUCUCUACAGGUAUCGCCUCCACUCCCACUCAAUUGACGUUGCUGGCAAGCGGGUGGGGGGCGGCCAUGUGGGGUGGUGGUGCGGUGCUGUUCUGUUUGUGUGUCCGGAUUUUGUUGGAUUUGGGGUUUAUUUCCUGCACCGGAGGUGUUUUUCUUGGCCGCAAAACAAAAGAGAACUCCAGUUGGGACUAAUUCUCUUUUUCUUAAGGCAACAUCCUUUUUAGCACAUCACAAGUUCAUUGUUUUUUUCUUGGCCGCAACCUUUUUCUUGCUUGCACAAGCUGUUCAAAUAUAUAUUUUUUAGCUUUAUCCAGGCAUAGCCUGCUUAGAUGCAAAAGUUCUGUAUUUUGUUUUGCGGCCUAAAAUACCAUUUAAUCUGCCAUGUCACCAGAGUUUCUUUUAAAAAAAUCAGGGGGAAGCAGCUCAGCUUAAUAUGUGAAAUCAUUAGAAAGAUGAACAGCUAAAAGCAAUCAAAAAGAGGAAAUUCAGAACCCCAAAAUUGAUUGAACAAACAUAUGCUGCGUUAAAUGAAUAUCACUCUAGCAAGUUGAGAUGAAGAGAGAAGUUGAGCAUUCAGUGGGAAGACUGCCACAAACAAUGCAUGUACAAGAGAAAUGAACGUAGGCAAAUAUUACCUCUAUUUAUCAUAUUAUAAGAUGUUUUCACCCUCCUUAAUUCAUAUGGAUGGUAAUGAAUCUGGACAUAGAUAUAAAACAUAUUCAUUGAUAAUAUGGAAUGGAUGGAGUAGUGAGUAUUUUUUGAUGAAUUGAAAUGACCAAACACUGGAACAACAAAAGAAAUUGUAGGUGGCACCAUUCCAGCAUUUGAUAAUAAUGAUGAUAUGACUAUAUGACAACAAAAGGAAAACCAUAAGAAAUAUGAAAGAACAUUGCCAAAGCAGAUCCCUCUGAAUAAUUACCUAGGUUGUGCAUAUUUCUCCUUCAGUAAUUAUAAUUUCCUUAAGUACUUCUCAAAGUUUGGCCUUGAAGAUUCCUGCCUUUCUUUUGGCAUAUUCGUGAACUACUAUGCCAACUGUGCUCUCUUUAUGGUGCAAAUAAAACUCCACAAGCAAUAUUCUACUUUUGUCAGGCAGGUGAUCACCAUGAUGACUCUAUCGUUAAAAAAAGAAUCCCCGGGUAAGAUAUUGUCUGUUUUACAAAGAACUUACAUAGAAAUGAAUGCAUGAAGACACAUUUGUUAAAGAAAGUAAGUUCAGACAACCAUUUCAAAAUCCAUCAGUGAGCUGAAACUGAAACUAACCGAUGAAGAUUCAAAUCAUUUGGAUAUAUUAACUAGAAACGACAGGAUAACUAAACUGCCCAAAUUCUUCCCUGCUUGUUAUACAUUUUUAUAAUUGAUAUAUGAGUUUGGAGAUAAGUUCAACCCACUAGCACAAACUGAAUUAAAUGUUUAUUCUUCCUGCUGGUAAAUUCAGUAGUAAUGCUUCAGACAGUUACAAGGCAGAAACUCUAUUGCACACAGCAUGGUGCAUAAGGAUUCCAGCUGCAACAGACACAUUAAAACCAUGCAUUAGUGAAUUUAUUCUUCUAUUUAUAGUUAUCUUUCUAAAGUAGACCAUGCAACUUAUGAGCAUAUUACUAUACAGAGCAUGCUAUUAGUGUAUCUCUCAUCUCCCUGGCAUGAAUUGUUACUGUGAUGUAAACUUUAAAGAUAUGUACAUAGAAUGUUUCUUAACCACGUAAAAAUAUGUGUUUGAAGAUUCAGAACAAGCAACACUACUAUAUAUGAUUCAAUACAAGCAUCUUUCUCCGUGCUGCAGGGAUAACUUGUAUAUGAAAAAUGUACGUUUGACAGCUGUCACCAUAUCACUGCCAUCUUAUCUGCUUAUUCGUGUGCCAUUAGCUACUCUUUAAGUAAACUAUGAUUUUUUUUAUAGUAUAUAGAUAUAAUUCAGUCAAUGAUCAAGAUAGAUGCCUAGCUUUUGCAAUUAAAAAUAAAUUCCAUUAUUCUUUUCUUAUUUGUGUAGGUAAUUUUGGCUCACUCCCUACACGGCUACACCCACCCCAACGUCAAGCGUGGCAACUUCAUCGUCAAGGAGUAGCUGCACAUCCUCACUGGUAUUUAAUCCUGACGAUCGCCCACCUUCAUCUUGACUUAUUUAAUGAAAUUUCGUUCUGCAGAAUUCUCAAUGAAUAAUUACGAGCCUUAUUAUCUUGAGAUCAUUUAUUCAUAUGGUCAGGGAUCAGUUUUUUAUGUAUGCCCAUCUCCAUGGAUUUGUAUCAAUAGAAUUACCUUGAGAUUUUCUUCUCUAAUAUAUAUCUAUGCUAAGCAUUUGGUGGGGUUGGGCAUGAUUUCCUUGAGAUCAUUCUUUUACGUUGCCUUCCAUCAUCCAUAAAUAAGUACUUAGAUGGCCUUUUGGCUUGUAAUAUUUUGUUAAGUUAUGGAUAUUGUAAACUUUUGUCCAUUUUAAUUUUCAAUCCUCACCUUGUUUGUAGCCUAUUAAUUACCAUCUGUAAAUAAACUAUGGAAUUUUCAUUUCAUAAUUAAUUAUUCUCCCAUAGUAUUAAAUGCAAGCAACAUUUACUGUAAGAAAACAAUAAAUCAUUAACCUCGCAAAAAAUAGCUAAAUAAUUUGUGAAAGUCAUGUACAGUUUUAAAAUUACUAGAUUGUACUGUUAAACUGUAGAUAAAUAUUACUGUUCAGAUGAUAUUAUCCGAUUGUGAUAUAUUUUCUGACAUGUUUUGCAUGUGCCAUUGGGAGUUCUCUGUGCUCAUGACUCAAAUAGACUGAUUUGUACUACAGAUUGUCUGUUGUAGAUUUGUUUCAAUUAUUCUGUCCAGUAGCAUUCCGAAGCAACGUGAAUAAAAAAGGCGAUUCCUUCUCCGAUUCAGCUUCAAAUUUGCAUUAUUAUACUAUAUCAGAUAUAUCUCUGAUAUGAACUUCAUUGUUCAUUUGCUUGCUCUGUUACAAUCAUGUUUUCUCCAGCCUGGCAAUACAAUCAUGUUUUCUCUGAUAUGGACUCCAGGGUUCCGUCAACUACGUGGUGGCUUGCUGCUAGAUCUGGUUUAGAAUAGGUCUCCCUAUAAUGUAUGGGAUUAAGAUGAAUAUUUGGAGAAUAUGCCUAUUACUGUACGAUACUAUUGAAGUUUGCCUUAAAUAUAUUUGAUAUAUGACCUAGAUUGAUUUAAAGCUUAAUUGGAUUAACUUUUGAAACAUAAUUUGAUGAACAUAAAAUUUAAUAAUUUAUUAUCAAAUAUAUUAUAAUACCGUAGCGUUAGCACUGGCACUGACUAGUAUCCUAUAGUGCAUCAACGUAAAAGACUCAUGACUCAUGGGAUAAAUCGAAC